rnacentral:rRNA from 1 species
GACGAACGCUGGCGGCGUGCCUAAUACAUGCAAGUUGAGCGCUGAAGGUUGGUACUUGUACCGACUGGAUGAGCAGCGAACGGGUGAGUAACGCGUGGGGAAUCUGCCUUUGAGCGGGGGACAACAUUUGGAAACGAAUGCUAAUACCGCAUAAAAACUUUAAACACAAGUUUUAAGUUUGAAAGAUGCAAUUGCAUCACUCAAAGAUGAUCCCGCGUUGUAUUAGCUAGUUGGUGAGGUAAAGGCUCACCAAGGCGAUGAUACAUAGCCGACCUGAGAGGGUGAUCGGCCACACUGGGACGGAGACACGGCCCAAACUCCUACGGGAGGCAGCAGGAGGGAAUCUUUGGCAAAGGAAGAAAGUCUGACCGAGCAACGCCGCGGGAGUGAAGAAGGUUGUCGGAUCGUAAAACUCUGUUGGUAGAGAAGAACGUUGGUGAGAGUGGAAAGCUCAUCAAGUGACGGUAACUACCCAGAAAGGGACGGCUAACUACGUG